CCUGCCCGGGGUUUGGGGCGGGCCAGCCUGUGACGCUCAGGAGCCUGCCGGGAGAGGCGGAGUCUUCUCAGUCAGGAGGGGGAACACUGAGGUGGGCAGGUCCUUGUAGAGCCAGGAAGGGAGCUGGGGCACGGCGCUCAGGACCGUGACUGGAUGGGAGCCGGUUAGGCACCGUUUGAACUCCCCCCACCCCGUUGCCCCAUCAGGGCUCGCACCGUCCCCGAGAGAUAGGCCCGGUGGCCGCAGGCAGAGAUGGGCGCAGAACACUGCCCCAGCCACUGGAAUCCGCUACUAGUAAAGAGUUGCAUAGCCCAUGGGCUCUCACUGUCCUUUACUGGCUGGGGCCCGUGGAAGACAACUGCUAGUAAAAGUCCUGGGUUCAAACCCUGCUGAAGAUCGAUGUGGGUGAGCAGGAUCAUUGGCUUUCAUCUGAUGCUCCAGAGAGUGACGAACAGCAGCCUUGAAAUCAGCAACUUUUCCAUUUUCGACAGGAGCUUUGCUUCUGAGGUGCAGACAUCUUCAUCUUUUAUACUGACAGAGCAGAAGGACCUAAGAUGAGUCAGAGGGAUUUUGGUGUGAAAGCGUAACAACAACCUGAAAAUUGCUGAGGGUGUCAACAGCCCACUUACUCAUCUUUCCAAAUGUUGUUUGUACUGUUAGCUAACUAUUGCAAGCCGCUUUGGAUAAAAGUGCUAUAUAAAAAAACCCUUUAUUUUUGUUCUACAAAUAAAAGCACAUAACUUAUUUUAAUAUCAGUAGUCUUACCUUUCUAAUGUGAUGGAUGUGCCCUCUCUUCCCUGCCGUGGCAGCCCCCAAGCUGGGGCUGGGAAGGAGGGGAAGGGUCUCUCCUGCCACAGCAGUCACUAGGCUGGGAAGCCACUGUGCUGCCGCAGUAGCCCCUGAGCUGGGGCUGGGAAGGAGGGCCGUCUCUCCCUGGCAGCUGCAGUCCUGAAGAUGGGGAAAGUCACCUCUUUCUCUGGCCACUGCAGCCCUGCACGUCCCAAAUUCCCCCCACCCCCUCUUCUCACCCCAGUCCCCUCCUACCUAUCCCCUAUUCCCCACAAGGCCACCACCUCAUCUUAUAUGUGAGUCUUCUCCAGGAUACAGGCACCUAAUUAGUGGAACCACACCUGCACGGCUCCACUAAUUAGGUGGGUGGCCCUUCAUUCUCUUGUGUGCGCCCAGGCACGCACCUUAGAGGGAAUUAGCCGUGGACCACCUGAAUGGAGCUCACGGACCACAG